rnacentral:rRNA from 1 species
AACGAACGCUGGCGGCAUACCUAACACAUGCAAGUCGAACGAGACCUUCGGGUCUAGUGGCGCACGGGUGCGUAACGCGUGGGAACCUGCCCUUAGGUUCGGAAUAACUCCCCGAAAGGGGUGCUAAUACCGGAUAAUGUCUUCGGACCAAAGAUUUAUCGCCUUUGGAUGGGCCCGCGUUGGAUUAGCUAGUUGGUAGGGUAAAAGCCUACCAAGGCGACGAUCCAUAGCUGGUCUGAGAGGAUGAUCAGCCACACUGGGACUGAGACACGGCCCAGACUCCUACGGGAGGCAGCAGUGGGGAAUAUUGGACAAUGGGCGAAAGCCUGAUCCAGCAAUGCCGCGUGAGUGAUGAAGGCCUUAGGGUUGUAAAGCUCUUUUACCCGGGAUGAUAAUGACAUUACCGGGAGAAUAAGCUCCGGCUAACUCCGUG